UCGUCACACUAUCAUUAACUGAAUCCAUAGGUUAAUGAGGCGAACCGGGGGAACUGAAACAUCUAAGUACCCCGAGGAAAAGAAAUCAACCGAGAUUCCCCCAGUAGCGGCGAGCGAACGGGGAGGAGCCCAGAGCCUGAAUCAGCAUGUGUGUUAGUGGAAGCGUCUGGAAAGGCGCGCGAUACAGGGUGACAGCCCCGUACACAAAAGCGCAUGUGCUGUGAGCUCGAUGAGUAGGGCGGGACACGUGGUAUCCUGUCUGAAUAUGGGGGGACCAUCCUCCAAGGCUAAAUACUCCUGACUGACCGAUAGUGAACCAGUACCGUGAGGGAAAGGCGAAAAGAACCCCGGCGAGGGGAGUGAAAAAGAACCUGAAACCGUGUACGUACAAGCAGUGGGAGCACAGGUUUACCUGUGUGACUGCGUACCUUUUGUAUAAUGGGUCAGCGACUUAUAUUCUGUAGCAAGGUUAACCGCAUAGGGGAGCCGGAGGGAAACCGAGUCUUAACCGGGCGUUAAGUUGCAGGGUAUAGACCCGAAACCCGGUGAUCUAGCCAUGGGCAGGUUGAAGGUUGGGUAACACUAACUGGAGGACCGAACCGACUAAUG
rnacentral:rRNA from 1 species